UACGGAGGGUGCAAGCGUUAAUCGGAAUUACUGGGCGUAAAGCGCACGCAGGUGGCUGAGUCAGUCGAUUGUGAAAGCCCUGGGCUUAACCUGGGAAUUGCAGUCGAUACUACUCAGCUAGAGUAUGGGAGAGGGUAGUGGAAUUCCCGGUGUAGCGGUGAAAUGCGUAGAUAUCGGGAGGAACAUCAGUGGCGAAGGCGGCUACCUGGCCCAAUACUGACACUCAGGUGCGACAGCGUGGGGAGGCAA
rnacentral:rRNA from 1 species